rnacentral:rRNA from 1 species
UAUUGCACAAUGGGCGAAAGCCUGAUGCAGCGACGCCGCGUGAGGGAUGACGGCCUUCGGGUUGUAAACCUCUUUCAGUAGGGAAGAAGCGAAAGUGACGGUACCUGCAGAAGAAGCACCGGCUAACUACGUGCCAGCAGCCGCGGUAAUACGUAGGGUGCGAGCGUUAUCCGGAAUUAUUGGGCGUAAAGAGCUCGUAGGCGGUUUGUCGCGUCUGUCGUGAAAGUCCGGGGCUUAACCCCGGAUCUGCGGUGGGUACGGGCCGACUAGAGUGCAGUAUGGGAGACUGGAAUUCCUGGUGUAGCGGUGGAAUGCGCAGAUAUCAGGAGGAACACCGAUGGCGAAGGCAGGUCUCUGGGCUGUAACUGACGCUGAGAGCGAAA